GAGUUUGAUCUUGGCUCAGAUUGAACGCUGGCGGCAGGCCUAACACAUGCAAGUCGAGCGGAUGACGGGAGCUUGCUCCUUGAUUCAGCGGCGGACGGGUGAGUAAUGCCUGGGAAUCUGCCUGGUAGUGGGGGACAACGUUUCGAAAGGAACGCUAAUACCGCAUACGUCCUACGGGAGAAAGCAGGGGACCUUCGGGCCUUGCGCUAUCAGAUGAGCCUAGGUCGGAUUAGCUAGUUGGUGGGGUAAUGGCUCACCAAGGCGACGAUCCGUAACUGGUCUGAGAGGAUGAUCAGUCACACUGGAACUGAGACACGGUCCAGACUCCUACGGGAGGCAGCAGUGGGGAAUAUUGGACAAUGGGCGAAAGCCUGAUCCAGCCAUGCCGCGUGUGUGAAGAAGGUCUUCGGAUUGUAAAGCACUUUAAGUUGGGAGGAAGGGCAGUAAGUUAAUACCUUGCUGUUUUGACGUUACCGACAGAAUAAGCACCGGCUAACUCUGUGCCAGCCGCCG
rnacentral:rRNA from 2 species